rnacentral:rRNA from 1 species
CCUACGGGUGGCAGCAGUGAGGAAUAUUGGUCAAUGGGCGAGAGCCUGAACCAGUCAAGUCGCGUGAGGGAGUACUGCCCUAUGGGUUGUAAACCUCUUUUGUCGGGGAGCAAAAGCCGGACGUGUCCGGCUGUGAGAGUACCCGAAGAAAAAGCAUCGGCUAACUCCGUGCCAGCAGCCGCGGUAAUACGGAGGAUGCGAGCGUUAUCCGGAUUUAUUGGGUUUAAAGGGUGCGCAGGCGGAUUUUUAAGUCAGCGGUAAAAUCGUGGGGCGCAACCCCAUCCAGCCGUUGAAACUGGGGAUCUAGAGUGUGCGAGAGGUAUGCGGAAUGCGUGGUGUAGCGGUGAAAUGCAUAGAUAUCACGCAGAACCCCGAUUGCGAAGGCAGCAUACCGGUGCACAACUGACGCUCAGGCACGAAAGCGUGGGUAUCGAACAGGAUUAGAUACCCUUGUAGUC